rnacentral:rRNA from 1 species
UACAGAGGGUGCAAGCGUUAAUCGGAAUUACUGGGCGUAAAGCGUGCGUAGACGGUUAUGUAAGUCAGAUGUGAAAGCCCCGGGCUCAACCUGGGAAUUGCAUUUGAGACUGCAUAGCUAGGGUGCGGAAGAGGGAAGCGGAAUUUCCGGUGUAGCGGUGAAAUGCGUAGAUAUCGGAAGGAACACCAGUGGCGAAAGCGGCUUCCUGGUCCCAGCACCGACGUUCAGGCACGAAAGCGUGGGGAGCAAACAGGG